rnacentral:lncRNA from 1 species
GAAAAUGAGAAGAAGUCGAUGUUAAAUUGGAACAUUGUGAUUCAUCGGUUCCGGAGAGAGAUAUGAUGGUUACCUUGAGGAAACUUGUUUGCUCAGCAUAAUUAUUUGUCAAAAGACGAGAGAGAGAAAGGUGGGAAUAGAUUGAUGGCAGUGGUUACCUUGAGCCCCGUAAAUUGGAGUGGUAUUGAUCCCAUCAGUUCUUUCACUAUAAGCCAAAAAAAAAUAUUCAGAAGACACACACACACAUGGAGAACCAAAGAAUAAAACCAGAGUCCUCAUUCUCGGACAAUAAGAAGAAUUGCAUUUCUCCUCCCAGCGAAAGCACGCGAGUUGCAUGUGAUUGACGACCACCACCUAGCCAAUAAAACCCAGCCACAUCAGCACAACAACCACCAUCCUUAACAGAUCCAUUCGAUCUGCAAUGUAU